UUACAAAGCCAUCAAGGUACCUUUUUAUGGAAAUUCAGAAGAUCGAUAGUAGUUACUAUCCUGAGGUAUAUAUGGAUGUCUCUCUAAUAAUUCCUUUUCAAAUGGAAGAUUGAACUUACUGAUUACAAAAUAGUUCGCUACAUGGAUGGCCUUGCAAACUCUUCAUAAGCUAUUUAUUAUUAAUGCUGGAUCCGGCUUCAAAAUGCUAUGAAAAGCCGUUAAAACAUUCCUAGAUGUUUGCACAGUAGCAAAAGUUCAACUUAACUUUUGGCAUGCCAACUAUGUUAUUGUUACUGUGAUUGAUGGUGGCAAUGGAUUGGCACUAUUAAUAAUGGUGGUUUAAUUGUUAGUGAUUAUACAAAUCUUAUUAAUAUUUAAGUUGAUAGUACGUUAAAGGUUUUUUUUCCUUUUGUUUUGUAAUAUUAUUUUGCUUUUGGUUGAACUGAUUUUGGUUUGAUUUAUAGUAAGAAUUUGUCUCCUAUUUUCCUAAAGGCAGCAUAUCUAUAUUAUAAAAAAUUUUAACUGUUACCAUAUUUCAUCUACUUAUGUGAAAGAUUAAUCCUUGACUGGGAAAAACAAAUCACCCCCUCAUUUUUGUUGUUUUUGCAGUAGAGAAGAAGAUCUUGCAGCAAAACCUUACAUAAAAUGGGUAGCAUCAAUGGCUACUUCUCUUGAUACUGGUGUCCCUUGGGUUAUGUGCAUGCAAGCAAAUGUUCCUAAUCCUAUUGUAGGUUUCUUUAUUAUCGUGGAGCUGUACCUUACAAACUUGUGGAAGAUCUCGCAUUUGCUGUGGCAAGAUCUUAUUAACUUAGUGGAACUUUUAUGAAAUACUAUAUGGUUUUGAAACCUAUGAUAUCUUUUAAGUUUGUUAUUAUAGGUAUAUGAGAAAAGAAUUGAGUUGAUAGUACAAAGUUUUGAUGUGAAAUAGUAUCAUGGAGGAACCAAUUUUGGUAGAACCACAGGUGGACCUAUUGUUACUACUAGUUAUGACUAUGAUGCACCACUUGAUGAAUAUGGUAUGAUAUUUAUUUAUUUAUCUAUCUGUUCCGAGGGUUACCUGAAAUAGGGAGGUCGAUCUCGGAUAAAAUCUUUAGAUCUGGACUGGGCUGCCUGCGUCUGACUUGUUGAUGUAGGAGAUGCUACGAGUCCUAGUUCACCGGAAGGGGGUGGUACAUGCAAGAGACUCUGAUACUUAAGUCAGUACGGGCUUUAGGCAGGUUUUUAAUAGAAUUGGAGUAUCCGUUUUACCUGGGUGCUCCAGUGUAUUUAUAGUAGUGCGGAGUGACCUUCCUUGAGAUAAGUUAGUUAUCUUAUCUUAUCUUUUGUGGGUGAGAUCACUUAUCUUUUGGCCAGCCGCCUUCAGGUGGGCUGUGAUCCUCUGCUUUGGGCCUGUUUGGGCCUCUAUGGUGAUUUAGCCGAGCUCUUUAGAAAGAGGUCGGUGACGGGCCAACCUUACAAGAAGUCGGUCGCUUUGUCUUCGUCCAGCCUGGACCGUAUAGCUCGGUCCAAGGUAUGAAUAGUUUCCCUGCUUGAGCUUCGAUCUUCCCCUUGAGGUCGUGCUUUUAAACUUCGACUCCUUGGAGGAAGUCGUGCUCAAGCAUUACGUCCGAUCUGCUCCUACUUCGGAUAGUUUUUGCGUUCUUUAAUGUCUUUCAAAACGCGAUGCCUUUUUUUUAAAUGCGGCGUCAUUCCCUAGCGCAUCAAUUUUGGGUUUAUGCGAGCGCUAUUAGGGCUUUUAAUUCCCUUUGCCGUUUCGUUCCCUCGCUCAAUUUGAAUUUAGAGAAGUUUCCUUCUUUCCUUUGAAAUCAAAGAGAUUUUGGUUUUUUCAGUUCUUUCUUCUGCUUUUGUUUUGCCCCAAGUUUUUUUUUCUUUCUUUGAAGUUUCAAAGCAUCUGCUGGACCGUUCGUGCUUUCGCCACGCAUCCAUCGUUGCUUCUUGUUCUCCUUUGCAGGUUGGUAUUUUGCUUCCUAUCCUUUCUCGUUUUAUGUGUUUUGAUUGUCGUCCUUCUUUGUGCUUUACUACUGCAUGCUUUCUUUUUUGCACAAAGUUUUGAUCUUGCUGAGCUUUUUGAAAACUUUCUGGUGGUUGUUGCAUGCCUUUGUUUCUUCAAAGUUGCGAUCUUUUUUAUCUUCGUUGCUUCGUUUAGAGAAAUGUAGGCGCUUAGGUGAACCGUUUUUAGUUGCGGUUUUUUCUUUUUGGUGAAGGGGCUAGGGUUUUGAUUUUUGUUUGACUUUCCUAUGUGUUUUUCCUUCUUUGUAUCUGUAUUACCUCUGAAGGGUGCCUCUGGGUUUUUGGUGGUGAUUUUUUGUUGCUUUUGUGAAUCCUGGGGUGCCCUUUUGCUGCUAUACCUGUUGUUUGCUGGUUGUUUCUUUAUUUUCUAUUUUUGUCCGAGUUGUUUGGUAGUGACCCUUUUUCUUUUUUUCUUACUGUAGGUAUAGUUGUUCUAUGUCUUCUCGUAAAAAUAUUGUCGAGAUGUCUACAAAGGUUCCCCCUGGUAUGCCAGACUGGUUAGAUUCUAUAGUGUUGAUGUGUGUUACUGUGGCCGACCCAGAAUACUGUGAGAAAUUUAGGAGAUUUCAUAGGAUCUGUAGUAGUAGGGAUGAUGAGAAAAAUUACGAGCUGGUGUCACCUGACCCUGAGUAGAGGGUUAGUUUUCCUCCCUUAACUUGGGAAGAACGUCCUUUCUUCUAUGCCUAUGACUAUUUUUUUAGCCAAUUAGGUAUUACCCUUCCUUUUACUGUGUUUGAGACUGAGGUUUUGUGGAAGUGUAAUGUGGCCCUGUCACAGCUUUGAUAAACCACUUUUUAUCCUAUGUUUAAUUGAGUGGUUUCAUCAAGUCUUCACCCACUUAUUCAUAUGAUUUACAUGAUUUUACAAUUCCUUCCUAGUUUUGUUUUAUGAUUGAA